UCCUUACAUUAGGGCGUGUUUAUAAUUAGUUAGAAGUCUGCUGACCAAUAGUAGGAAUAAUAAUGGGCAGAGUUUGUGGAUAACAGUUUUUGUUUCUGUUACGGAUUUGGGUUCUUAGUUUACAAGAAAUCCAGAAGAUUUGAGAGAGCUUCUUGUUGGAAACAUGGAUAAUGUGCUAACACCACUAGAAUGCUUUCUUCCUGAUGG